AUGAAAUGAAUGAAUAUAUUGCUGCACUGAUGAGAAACCAUAAAGCUAUUUUACAGAUUGAAAGCAGGCCCAGAGAGACACCUGGUGACGAGGAGAUUGCAACACCAUUUCCUGUGGGAACGUGGGUGUACAUCAAAGUGUACCAGCGUAAGUGGAGUGACCCCAGAAGGGAGGGGCCCUAUGAGGUGACUGCUGCUAGUCCAACAGCUGUACAGAUCCAGACGUGUGGACAGUGCCAACAAACCAAUACGAAAUUGAGGCACUCUGCGGGACAUUACCUGUGGGUAAACGUAAGAAUUGUGAAAAAGUAUUAAAAGAAGACUCAAGUAUAAUUGCUGUAGGAUGUACAAUCAUACAAAAGUAUAUGUUUUCUGAGAGAAUAAGAGUAUUUUUUCAUUGUGUAAAAGAAUUCUAUCCAAGCAUCCAAAAAGGGAAAAAUAAAUAUCAACAGGUAAUUUUUAAAGAAACACCAAAAUGCCAGAAGAAACAGAAAAAUCGGAGGAGGCAGAUCCAUCAACCGAUUAUGUAUUGACCCCAAUUGUUAUUAAUGUUACAACUGUAGAAGAGAAAUUAGCAAUAGAAACUGGGUUUGGAGAUCAUAAUGAAUGGUUUGAAUGGGUAAUGGCAAGUGGGUGUGUCUGAUUGCAUUGCAUGUGCUACGGCUAGACCAAGUCUGGCCACCUCACCAUUUCGGUUGAAUGAAGAAAAUGAUAAACAAGGUUUAAUGUGUAUGAUCAAAGCAUUUAAGGGUGUGGAGGAUGAAGAGUGCAUGACUGUUUCUUAUUUGUUUCCAAAGAUGAAAAUGUAUCUGCCACCAAAUAUACAGGCUUAUAAGGGUAAUUAUACAUGUUUUAAAAGAACCAUGGGACACGAAAAUGUUAAACAUUUUACAGAUGGGUGGUGCCACAGUGAAAUUGAUGUUACAAAUGACAAAGAGGGAUACAAGGCAAGCUGGUUUAUAGGCCAGACCACAGGAAGGGCAGACGUAUGGUGGAUGUGUGGUGACAUGAAGUUAAGGCCAAGUUUGAGAGUAAAUUGGAAGGGAACCUGUACCCUUGUACAAUUAAUAAUGCCAUUCCAAAUGUUUUCAUUACCUGAUUUUGGGAGCCUACAUGAUAAAAUAAGUGGUAAGAGUAUUAACAGGGAGAAAAGAAACUUGCCUGGUGGGUCUUUUGAUAAUAGAGUGUAUAUUGAUGCCAUUGGGGUUCCGAGGGGGGUGCCAGAUGAAUACAAAGCAAGAAAUCAAAUUGCUGCAGGUUUUGAGUCAAUCAUUUUCUGGUGGUCAACCCUCAACAAAAAUGUCGACUGGAUUAAUUAUUUGUAUUACAAUCAACAAAGAUUUGUAAAUUAUACCCGUGAUGCCGUUAAGGGGAUAGCUGAACAAUUGGGACCAACUUCACUAAUGGCACAACAAAACAGGUUAGCGCUAGAUAUGUUGUUAGCGGAAAGGGUGGAGUUUGCCGGAUGAUAUCGGCCGCGUGGUGUUGUACAUUCGUUACUAACAAUACUGCCCCUGAUGGGAGCAUUACCAGGGCAUUAGAAGGUUUGACCGCCUUGUCAAAUGAAUUGGCUGAGAAUGCUGGAAUCGAUGACCCAUUUACAAAAAUGAUGGAAAAGUGGUUUGGGAAGUGGAGUACACUGAUAACUUCUAUACUGAUGUCAGCUGCUGUAGCUGUUGCUAUCAUUGCAUUGUGUGGUUGUUGUUGCAUACCAUGUAUCAGGGGUUUGAUUGAGAAAACUAUUGAUAAAGGAAUGGGUAAGAUAAUGUACCAACGGGUACAAAUUAGAGAGGACGACGAGGGAGAUAAAUUUGAGGACAAUAUCCAUGUGUGAUGGGGAACCAACGAGGCUCUAGUACCCUCCUCCCUCACACGGCCCUCUACGCGUGCAAAGCGCAUGGGUUGAAGAACGUCGAAAGCUGGAAGAUGCACCCUACACAUAUACAUAUAGAAUUCAUGUUUCUUAGAAAGACUCUGUGUGGACUGCCCAUCAGAGCAAAACACUCUCAUGUGAGAAUCAUUAUGUUACUGGUCAUGUUAAACUGGACAUAGGGUGUCACUUAUAUUAAUGCAUUUAUUAUUUUUUAUUAACAUUUAUAAUUUUUUGCAUGUGUUAUCAUUUAUUAACAAGGUAUUAUUGUUUGCAUUUAUUAUUUUUAUUACAAGUUAUAAUCUUUUAUUAGUAAUGCAAGUUGCAAACCUGAAGUGUGUGUAAAAUAGGGAAAGGGAUGGUUUUAAGCAUCACUGUCCAUGGUGUGAUGACAGUGUAACAAGCCUGGUAAGUGACUGAUGGUCCAGGAAUCUCCUGGGGGUGGAGGUAAAACAUCCACCUAGCACGGCUUACCAGAAAGUGAAAAGAAUUUUUUGGAAAGAUGAUAUGCUUGCUUUUGAUCUAAAAUUAAAUGUUAUGUUAUUUUUUACAUGUUGUUAAUCGUUACUCUUUUUUACGGGUGGUUCAUUAUCAUUUAAAGGAUGACCCAUGUAAAAUGAAUGUUGAAAUUAGAAAAGUGACUGAGGGUCUGGCCCGAACUGUCAGGGGUAUUUUAUUAUUUUAUAUGUUUUCUUUCUUUAAAGUACCUAGCCCGGCUUCUCUGGUAUCAGCAGUCGUAUUUGCAGGGUGGUUAUCGAAAACGUUUAGUUUCCGAAGGGGGGAUAUAUGGUGGAGAAAUUUUGAGUGUUUUAUCUUACAGAUUAGUAUUAUGUUUUAUAUGGUAUGCUUUUAAUGUGUUUCAUGGUUAAGGUCUACAUGAAUUAAGUUUUAAGUUGUC